CCUACGGGCGGCAGCAGUGAGGAAUAUUGGUCAAUGGGCGCGAGCCUGAACCAGCCAAGUAGCGUGAAGGAUGACUGCCCUACGGGUUGUAAACUUCUUUUAUAAAGGAAUAAAGUGAGGCACGUGUGCCUUUUUGUAUGUACUUUAUGAAUAAGGAUCGGCUAACUCCGUGCCAGCAGACGCGGUAAGACGGAGGAUCCGAGCGUUAUCCGGAUUUAUUGGGUUUAAAGGGAGCGUAGAUGGGUUGUUAAGUAAGUUGUGAAAGUUUGCGGCUCAACCGUAAAAUUGCAAUUGAUACUGGCAGUCUUGAGUACAGUUGAGGUAGGCGGAAUUCGUGGUGUAGCGGUGAAAUGCGUAGAUAUCACGAAGAACUCCGAUUGCGAAGGCAGCUUACUAAACUGCCACUGACAUUGAUGCUCGAAAGUGUGGGUAUCAAACAGGAUUAGAUACCCGGGUAGUC
rnacentral:rRNA from 1 species